rnacentral:misc_RNA from 1 species
AACGCACGAGACCUGCGGACCUGCGGAGGGAUCAUUAACAAAUUCCACAAACACUCGUCUUUGCCAGUCGGGGCCUUCGGACCCUGACUUGGUACUAUGACGCUUUCACACACAUUAUCAGUGACAACCAAAGGAGAACCAAAUCUAAUCGUUAAACAACUUUUAACAAUGGAUCUCU